rnacentral:rRNA from 1 species
GCAGCCGCGGUAAUACGUAGGUGGCAAGCGUUGUCCGGAUUUACUGGGUGUAAAGGGCGAGUAGGCGGAUCUGCAAGUCAGAUGUGAAAUCCCGGAGCUCAACUCCGGAACUGCAUUUGAAACUGUAGACCUUGAGUGAUGGAGAGGCAGGCGGAAUUCCCGGUGUAGCGGUGGAAUGCGUAGAUAUCGGGAGGAACACCAGUGGCGAAGGCGGCCUGCUGGACAUUAACUGACGCUGAGGAGCGAAAGCGUGGGGAGCAAACAGGAUUAGAUACCCC